UCUUCACUACCUUAUACCAUAUACAAUAUACUUUAAUUGUGUAUGUAUCUUCUUUAAUCUUGUUCUAUAGCAUGAAUACAAUCAGCAGCAGAAGAGGAUGCUUCAUUCAUUAGCUAAGUCUGAGAUAAGACGUCAGGAGAUUAGGAAGCAGCUGCAAGAAACUGACCAGGAGGUCAUGGAAUGGCUGAGAGUGUUCUCAUUAUAGGCAGAGGAAGAAGAAGGAGCCAAUCAAGCAGAAGGAAAGAGAGAGUGCUCAGAGGUGUCUUGAUAAAAGACAAAGACUAUCCCAACACUUGCUACUUUGAUUUUUUCUAUUUGUAUAGUUUUAUGUGAAAUUGUGACUGUA